UGGGGAAUUUUGGACAAUGGGCGAAAGCCUGAUCCAGCAAUGCCGCGUGUGUGAAGAAGGCCUUCGGGUUGUAAAGCACUUUUGUCCGGAAAGAAAUCCUUGGCUCUAAUACAGUCGGGGGAUGACGGUACCGGAAGAAUAAGCACCGGCUAACUACGUGCCAGCAGCCGCGGUAAUACGUAGGGUGCAAGCGUUAAUCGGAAUUACUGGGCGUAAAGCGUGCGCAGGCGGUUUGCUAAGACCGAUGUGAAAUCCCCGGGCUCAACCUGGGAACUGCAUUGGUGACUGGCAGGCUAGGGUAUGGCAGAGGGGGGUAGAAUUCCACGUGUAGCAGUGAAAUGCGUAGAGAUGUGGAGGAAUACCGAUGGCGAAGGCAGCCCCCUGGGCCAAUACUGACGCUCAUGCACGAAAGCGUGGGGGAGCAAACAGGAUUAGAUACCCUGGUAGUCCACGCCCUAAACGAUGU
rnacentral:rRNA from 1 species